CCUUGGUGGAAAGUCUAGGGGCAUCAGAAGGGCUGUGGAUUCCUGCGCCUCAAUCAGUACCGGUCCAGUACCUAUGGGGCACUGUGGCUGGCUGUGCUCUGUGAAACUUUUGCUGCUGUAUUCCAGCUUGGAGGAGGCUGCAUUUCACCCAUCUCCUACCAAGCUCCACCUGCCACCAGGUAAAUCCACAGGGAGCAACACCACACCUGGAGAAGCCAAGACUGGAGCUGUCUGGAAUACACUUAGCCUGGCAGAUAACAUGCAUCUACAAUGUCCUGGGAAACACAUUCUGACUUCUGCUAUGCCAGCAAGCCAGCAUCACAGACCUAGUCAUUCCCACAAUAACCCUCCUGACCCCGUCUGAGGCCAGGACCUUCCAGGACACCCAUGGCAGGCUGGAGAGUGGCAUAGGAGCCUGAGCAGACAAUGCCAUGUGCAUCUCUGGCAGAGGAGGAAGGGCUGAAGCCAGACUGCAGCGCAGAGGAGCAGAGUUUGCAGGAGUUGCCCCCAGGGAAAAGGCACCUCCCAAACAGGGUGGCAAGUGACUAUGGGCUUCAGUGUGGAGGAAGGGUGAGGCAGGGGAACACUGGGUUGGGUCUAAUCAACAGGCGGGCACAGUCACCCCUGCAAAGGUUCCAUGCAAGACUGCUGGGACCUGCAUGGAGGAGAAGGGGCUGGCCAGAGGUCAGAGCCCCUCCCCGGUUUCAGGUCCGUCUGCCUGGACACUGUGAAUGGCAGGAGGAGAAGCUGAUACAGUUCUGGGUUAAGGAGAGGGUUGGCUCAGCCCCUCUGAAUACCCAGGUGCCACUUUGCCAAGGACGCCCCAGGAUCAGGCCGUGAACAGGGAUCACCGUCACAGCUUCAGGAAGGUGUUGACAUGCACGGGAACAGGGACACUUGCUGAUACUUGUUGCAUUAGAUAAAUUUCACAUAGGACCGGCUCAGUCUGCCACACCCAGAGCUGGGCUCCUGUUCCAACAUCUGACCCUAUGUGCGGCCCAGAUGCGCAUGCUCGCAAGGAGACAUGUAGAUAGACACAUGGGCGCCGAGACAGAGAUGUGCCUGUCCACAAACUCACUCCCACAUGCCUGAACAUGAGUGCUCCCCAGAUGUACACACGUGCACCCCCAGACAGCCUGGGAAGGGCACACCCAGAGAGAGAGAGACACACACACCUAGGCAGUUCUGUACAAACAGCCUGGAAGUGCACACACACACAGAUGUUCACCCACACACACUCUGACAUGCUCUCACACAGACGUGUGGACACACACACACACGCAUCUCCCUUCUCUCCCCUGUGCUGCAGGUUCCCCCAUUCCAG